AGCCUGGGGAGGGAGGACGCACAGCGGAGGUUUGCGUUCCUGCAGGCAGGCUCCAGGGUGCUCUGCAUCAGAGCCCGGGCACCGUCCGCUGCCCUCUGCCCGGAGAGCACCAUGCAUCCAGCUACCCCAGGCCCCAAGGGAGGGUCUGGGAAAUAGGCAGCACUCUGUCCUGUGUCCUGACGGGGACCUGGGGACAGACUCUUCUCUGACCUGCGGACCACAGGGACGGAGCAGAGCCACCUGCUCAGGAACCCACCUUGGGCCUGCUGCCUGCCUGGCACACCUGCCUGCCGGCUCCUGGCUCUAGCAAAGAUGUGCCCACACUCACAGAGAAGACUCGCUCAGCACAGCUCCCGGUGGCAGCCCUGACUCGCCGACGCUCAGAGCUGGGCAGCACCAGCAGCCAAAAAUAAUGCAGACGCCGCUGACGGCGAGAGCUGGCGGGCCAGUGGAGACAUUCAACCGGAUGCACGUGACAUGACCCCCUGCCCUGUUCACGGUAUGUUCCUAUUUCUAGGUAAGUACAGAUAAAGCGUGCCACCCCUUCCCUACCCUGCCAGCUCCUGCCAGCUCCCUCCUCCAUCGGGCACCACCCAGUCUACUAGGGUCUGUUCUAAGCCAGUGCAGAUUCCAUAUCCCCUGACACAGGCCAGUGUCUCAGCAGGACAGUCCCCAAUGCUCCCACCCUGGGCUGGUGGCAGGUGCUGGCACCCCCAGAGGUGGGCGGCAGGUGGGCAAUUAUGUGUGCUCAGCCCGUCACCCCCAACACCCUCAGAAGAGCACCUGUGAAGCCCGUGACGACCCAGGGCCCUGGCUUUCGCUCGAUGAGUCCUCCACAGGUCACCAUGGAGAAACCCUCUCGACGCCCCCGGGUGGGCACUGAGAGAAGUCCGAACUAGUCCCGAACUCUCUCUGGCUUUUUGCAUGUUUAGUUAGUUCCGUGAGGAUGACAGUGGCGCUGCUAGUGGUGUGUAGGGUCUGGCUCCUCGGCUGCCCCCCUCCCUGGAGGUCUCGUGGCAAUGAACCUUACCAUGGCGAUGAACCUGCCGAUGAAGCGGAAGUAGGUGAGGUGGUCGGGGUUGAUGGAGGAGGCGGGGUUGAUCUGCAGGCAGUAAUUGUUCUUCCCGGCGUAUUCGAAUAAGCAAUACAUGGGGUUGAGCACCUCAUGGGACAGGAGGAAAAACCACUCUCUGUGAGAGAGAGAGAGAGAGAAACAGGACUAGCGGAUCCUCCCCUGCACGCGGGCUGGAGGCACACCGCUCCUCUGCCGUCCUCCUCAGCUGCUCUGGAGACACGGGUCCUGGGCAGGCGAGCCAGCAGCUGGCUAACCUGAAGUAACAGCAGGUCAGUGGACAGGGUGGGGUCAGACCCAGGGUGAGCGAGGACGACAGCCACGCUUGAGGGUGACGCUCAGGAAAACGUGAGUGUGUCGGCUCCGGGUGGGCAUCCAGGACUUUACAUCUUAAUGGCAAAGGGCCCCUGGCACCCUGGGGGCACCAUGCACAGCUGUGCAGGCUGUGCCCUACACAAGAGUACUAUGGCAAAAUAUCAUAGACUUGCACAUUUAUUGCAACAACUUUCCUGCAGCCAAGCUGUUUCUUUCUGUAAAAGCCAGAAUAUCGCCACCAUUUUCCAACAUGGAAGUGUCUUGAAAUAAGGCAUCUUUUUCUAAAUCUUGCAGCGAUGCUGUAUGAAUAGCAGCCACCCCGCUUCCACCCAACCUGAGCAGGUGGCGUAACAUGAGCACAUGAUAAUGCAUUCCCACCUCCUGAUGCAUGAACUGUGAUCCAUGCUGCCUGCAGACUAUAAACCUCACUCCCACUGCAGGUCUCUUGCUUUCCUUGCACUCUGCCCGCUCCUCCCCCAGGCCCCAUUACCAGACUUUGCUUGUCCUUCUGCAUGUUCAUCUGAACCAACACCCAGGCCUUAGCAUCUCUUUGCACUCUAGGUACAAGCCUCAAACCAGAAUUCAGAGUCCUUCUGGGCUUCAGCUAAACCCACAGGGGGACAACCCAACGAGGCCAGUCCCUGGCUGCUGGGCUGUUUGUGGCCAGGCAGACGAGGAGUCCUUCGAUGCAGAGGGUGCCCCGGUAUCCUGUCCGUGGUUCUACCCUGUGGUAGAACAGCAUGACGUAACCUACCAUAGGGUAAAACCACUGGCAGGACACAGAGAGACGGACACACACAGGGCGGGAGCCACACCAGAAGCCCACCAAGCAGAGCCUGGAGAGGAGGUCACCACGGUCACCACGGGAAAGACAGCCAUCGAUCCACGGGGGCCAACACAGAGGGCAAAGCCACCAACGAACAGAGGACCAGCAGCAAGUUAGCCCAACACCAAGCGAGAUGUCCCACUCCGAGAUAGGGGAUCAAGUUCUCCGUGCAGACUGGGAGCUGCCUGGCUGGCCCCUUUGGAGCCACACACAGGCAUGAGGAUGAAUGGAGCUCAGUCUCGUCUUGAGAAAACAUUGGUGAGGCUCAACUGCCAACGAACCCCCUUUCACGGCCACCCUCCACCCCCAGCUGAAAGGACAGAGAAACUUUCUUUCCAAGGUGGCAGCACAAGCAACUCUUCCAAAGUGAGUUCCAACAAAGACGCUUAAGUCUGGAAACCAUACGUUCCUUGACGGGACAGAGCCCCCUUUCAGCAGCGGGCCUCCAACCCAGCAGAAUGAAACUGCACCAGGGUGUGGGGAGCGGGCUGUCCUCCAUGAAGGGCACGUUACCAUCGGCGUACCGUGGAGGACGUGCGCAGUAUCUCCACCACAAUGCAGGUUGGUCUGAUGGUUACUGAAAAAGAUCUCCCAGAUUCACAGCGGUCAUUUUGCUGGGGGAAGGGUGCAGCAUCUCAAGUUCCUCCACGUUUGUUUGAAACACCCAUGCAUUUCAGACAAUGAAGCCAAAUACAAUGUCGUGGGGUAAGUACUGAGCUGCGGCAAUGACCUUGAAGAAGGAAAGAACUACAGCAAAGGUCAUUUUAAGAAUUUAAAAGAAGCAUUUGGUGCAAAAUGUUUGCUGCUUCAGGUCUUUUCUUGGAAUGGGUGGACAAUCCACAAGCAAUGAGGGGCUCCGAUGGGUACCAAAUGGGUUUCAGUGGACUUACAGGCAUCUUUUGCUUAACUGUAUAAAUCAACAGACCAAAUGUCUUUACUGACAGUCUCUGUGACCUGCAUUGAACUACAAACAAAAAAUAUUUAUCAUCCCCCUAACUGGUUUGGCUCAGUGGAUAGAGCAGGGGUCCUCAAACU